rnacentral:rRNA from 1 species
GAGACAGGUGCUGCAUGGCUGUCGUCAGCUCGUGUUGUGAAAUGUUGGGUUAAGUCCCGCAACGAGCGCAACCCUUAUCCUUUGUUGCCAGCGAUUCGGUCGGGAACUCAAAGGAGACUGCCGGUGAUAAACCGGAGGAAGGUGGGGAUGACGUCAAGUCAUCAUGGCCCUUACGAGUAGGGCUACACACGUGCUACAAUGGCGCAUACAAAGAGAAGCGACCUCGCGAGAGCAAGCGGACCUCACAAAGUGCGUCGUAGUCCGGAUCGGAGUCUGCAACUCGACUCC